AGAGUUUGAUCAUGGCUCAGAACGAACGCUGGCGGCAUGCCUAACACAUGCAAGUCGAACGGGAUCCAGGCUUCGGCCUGGUGAGAGUGGCGGACGGGUGAGUAACGCGUGGGGAACCUGCCCAAUGGUCUGGGAUAACCGCGGGAAACUGCGGCUAAUACCGGAUAAGCCCGAGAGGGGAAAGAUUUAUCGCCGAUGGAGGGGCCCGCGUCAGAUUAGGUAGUUGGUGGGGUAAUGGCCUACCAAGCCUACGAUCUGUAGCUGGUCUGAGAGGAUGAUCAGCCACACUGGGACUGAGAUACGGCCCAGACUCCUACGGGAGGCAGCAGUGGGGAAUAUUGGACAAUGGGGGCAACCCUGAUCCAGCAAUGCCGCGUGAGUGAUGAAGGCCUUAGGGUUGUAAAGCUCUUUUGGCGGGGACGAUGAUGACGGUACCCGCAGAAUAAGCCCCGGCUAACUUCGUGCCAGCAGCCGCGGUAAUACGAAGGGGGCGAGCGUUGUUCGGAAUUACUGGGCGUAAAGGGCGCGUAGGCGGCCGAUCAAGUUAGAUGUGAAAGUCCUGGGCUUAACCUGGGGACUGCAUUUGAUACUGAUUGGCUUGAAUUCGGGAGAGGAUAGCGGAAUUCCCAGUGUAGAGGUGAAAUUCGUAGAUAUUGGGAAGAACACCGGUGGCGAAGGCGGCUAUCUGGACCGACAUUGACGCUGAGGCGCGAAAGCGUGGGGAGCAAACAGGAUUAGAUACCCUAGUAGUCC
rnacentral:rRNA from 1 species